rnacentral:rRNA from 1 species
AUUGAACGCUGGCGGCAGGCCUAACACAUGCAAGUCGAACGAGUGGCGGACGGGUGAGUAAUGUCUGGGAAACUGCCUGAUGGAGGGGGAUAACUACUGGAAACGGUAGCUAAUACCGCAUACCAUCAGAUGUGCCCAGAUGGGAUUAGCUUGUUGGUGGGGUAACGGCUCACCAAGGCGACGAUCCCUAGCUGGUCUGAGAGGAUGACCCACCACACUGGAACUGGGACACGGUCCAGAACCCUACGGGGGGCAUCAGGGGGGAAUAUUGGACAAUGGGGGCAAGCCUUGUUGAACCAUGCCGCGUGUAUUAAGAAGGCCUUCGGGUUGUAAAAUACUUUCCGCGGGGAGGCGUUACCCGCAGAAGAAGCACCGGCUAACUCCGUGCCAGCAGCCGCGGUAAUAC